UCCUAACCGAGGUACCUACCUACUUACUAAUACCUAUGUUUGUUAUUGCUAAAGUACCGUGCAGCAAUCCAGCCAAGUUAAUUACACAGAGAAAAUAAUAUAGUUACAAGCCAAAUGGUAGACGAUGGACACAUUGUAAGAAGAUUUUCAGGAGUCGCCGAGAAGAAUGUUAUUCUAAAGACCUUGAUUACCGCUCAAUUAAUUUUGCUAUUAUGAACUUUGCUUUGUAUGUAUUUAAAUGAAAUAAAUGUAAGAAUUGUUUA